ACCAGACUCCUACGGGAGGCAGCAGUGGGGGAUAUUGCACAAUGGGGGGAACCCUGAUGCAGCGACGCCGCGUGGGUGAAGAAGUAUUUCGGUAUGUAAAGCCCUAUCGGCAGGGAAGAAAUUGGACGGUACCUGACUAAGAAGCCCCGGCUAACUACGUGCCAGCAGCCGCGGUAAUACGUAGGGGGCAAGCGUUAUCCGGAUUUACUGGGUGUAAAGGGAGCGUAGACGGCCAUGCAAGCCUGGAGUGAAAGCCCGGGGCCCAACCCCGGGACUGCUCUGGGAACUGUGCGGCUGGAGUGCGGGAGGGGCAGGCGGAAUUCCUGGUGUAGCGGUGAAAUGCGUAGAUAUCAGGAGGAACACCGGCGGCGAAGGCGGCCUGCUGGACCGCGACUGACGUUGAGGCUCGAAAGCGUGGGGAGCAAACAGGAUUAGAUACCCGCGUAC
rnacentral:rRNA from 1 species